rnacentral:rRNA from 1 species
GGACAGGGCGGCAUGCUAUACAUGCAGUGGAACGCAUGAUUGAUACCGGAGCUUGCUCCACCAUUAAUCAUGAGUCGCGAACGGGUGAGUAACGCGUAGGUAACCUACCUCAUAGCGGGGGAUAACUAUUGGAAACGAUAGCUAAUACCGCAUAACAGUAUUUAUCGCAUGGUAAAUACUUGAAAGGAGCAAAUGCUUCACUAUGAGAUGGACCUGCGUUGUAUUAGCUAGUUGGUGGGGUAAUGGCUCACCAAGGCAUCGAUACAUAGCCGACCUGAGAGGGUGAUCGGCCACACUGGGACUGAGACACGGCCCAGACUCCUACGGGAGGCAGCAGUAGGGAAUCUUCGGCAAUGGGGGGAACCCUGACCGAGCAACGCCGCGUGAGUGAAGAAGGUUUUCGGAUCGUAAAGCUCUGUUGUAAGAGAAGAACGUGUGUGAGAGUGGAAAGUUCACACAGUGACGGUAACUUACCAGAAAGGGACGGCUAACUACGUGCCAGCAGCCGCGGUAAUACGUAGGUCCCGAGCGUUGUCCGGAUUUAUUGGGCGUAAAGCGAGCGCAGGCGGUUUGAUAAGUCUGAAGUAAAAGGCUGUGGCUUAACCAUAGUAUGCUUUGGAAACUGUCAAACUUGAGUGCAGAAGGGGAGAGUGGAAUUCCAUGUGUAGCGGUGAAAUGCGUAGAUAUAUGGAGGAACACCGGUGGCGAAAGCGGCUCUCUGGUCUGUAACUGACGCUGAGGCUCGAAAGCGUGGGGAGCAAACAGGAUUAGAUACCCUGGUAGUCCACGCCGUAAACGAUGAGUGCUAGGUGUUGGGUCCUUUCCGGGACUCAGUGCCGUAGCUAACGCAUUAAGCACUCCGCCUGGGGGAGUACAACCGCCAGGGUUGAAACUCCAAAGGAAUUGACCGGGGGCCCCCCCAAACCGGGGGAACCAUGUGGUUUUAAUUCCAAACCAACCCCGAAAAAACCUUUACCAGGGUCUUGGACAUCCCCAGUGGACCGGUCCUAAAAAAAUAGGAAUUUUUCCUUCCGGAAACCCUGGGAAACCAGGGGGGGGGCAUUGGGUUUGCCCCCCCCCUCCCUGGGCCCGGGGAGAAUUUUUUGGGGUUUAAAAUUCCCCCCAAAAAAAGGGGCCACACCCCCCUAUUUUUGUAAUUUUGCCCCCCUUUUUUUUUUUUUGGGGGGGCCUUU